CAAUCAUAAAAGGUGGCUUUUAGCUACCACUUACAGAUGGACCCGCGGCGCAUUAGCUAGUUGGUGAGGUAACGGCUCACCAAGGCGACGAUGCGUAGCCGACCUGAGAGGGUGAUCGGCCACACUGGGACUGAGACACGGCCCAGACUCCUACGGGAGGCAGCAGUAGGGAAUCUUCCGCAAUGGACGAAAGUCUGACGGAGCAACGCCGCGUGAGUGAUGAAGGUUUUCGGAUCGUAAAACUCUGUUGUUAGGGAAGAACAAGUACCGUUCGAAUAGGGCGGCACCUGAC
rnacentral:rRNA from 1 species